rnacentral:rRNA from 1 species
AUUGAACGCUGGCGGCAGGCUUAACCCAUGCAAGUCGAGCGAGCGGCGGACGGGUGAGUAAUGUCUGGGAAUCUGCCUGAUGGAGGGGGAUACCUACUGGAAACGGUAGCUAAUACCGCAUACCAUCAGAUGUGCCCCGAUGGGAUUAGCUAGUAGGUGGGGUAAUGGCUCACCUAGGCGACGAUCCCUAGCUGGUCUGAGAGGAUGACCAGCCAAACUGGAACGGAGACACGGUCCAGAGUCCUACGGGAGGCAGCAGUGGGGAAUAUGGCACAAUGGGCGCAAGCCUGAUGCAGCCAUGCCGCGUGUGUGAAGAAGGCCGUCGGGUUGUAAAGCACUUUCAGCGAGGAGGCGUUACUCGCAGAAGAAGCACCGGCUAACUCCGUGCCAGCAGCCGCGGUAAUAC